rnacentral:tRNA from 1 species
AACUCCGUGGUGUAACGGUAACACAGCGGAUUUUGGUUCCGUUAUUCAAGGUUCGAAUCCUUGCGGGGUUG